rnacentral:rRNA from 1 species
AUUGAACGCUGGCGGCAGGCCUAACACAUGCAAGUCGAACGAGUGGCGGACGGGUGAUUAAUGUCUGGGAAACUGCCCGAUGGAUGGGGAUAACUACUGGAAACUGUAUCUAAUACCGCCUACCACCACAUGUGCCCAGAUGGGAUUAGCUAGUUGGUGGGGUAACGGCUCACCAAGGCGACGAUCCCUAGCUGGUCUGAGAGGAUGACCAGCCACACUGGAACUGAGACACGGUCCAGACUCCUACGGGAGGCAGCAGUGGGGAAUAUUGGACAAUGGGGGAAAGCCUGAUGCAGCCAUGCCGCGUGUAUGAAGAAGGCCUUCGGGUUGUAAAGUACUUUCAGCGGGGAGGCGUUACCCGCAGAAGAAGCACCGGCUAACUCCGUGCCAGCAGCCGCGGUAAUUC